UACGGAGGGUGCAAGCGUUAUCCGGAUUCACUGGGUUUAAAGGGUGCGUAGGUGGGUCUGUAAGUCCGUGGUGAAAUCUCCGAGCUUAACUUGGAAACUGCCAUGGAUACUAUAGGUCUUGAAUAUUGUGGAGGUGAGCGGAAUAUGUCAUGUAGCGGUGAAAUGCUUAGAUAUGACAUAGAACACCAAUUGCGAAGGCAGCUCGCUACACAUAUAUUGACUCUGAGGCACGAAAGCGUGGGGAUCAAACAGG
rnacentral:rRNA from 1 species